UUGUCCUACGGGAGGCAGCAGUGAGGAAUAUUGGUCAAUGGACGAGAGUCUGAACCAGCCAAGUAGCGUGAAGGAUGACUGCCCUAUGGGUUGUAAACUUCUUUUAUAUGGGAAUAAAAUGUUCCACGUGUGGGAUUUUGUAUGUACCAUAUGAAUAAGGAUCGGCUAACUCCGUGCCAGCAGCCGCGGUAAUACGGAGGAUCCGAGCGUUAUCCGGAUUUAUUGGGUUUAAAGGGAGCGUAGAUGGGUUGUUAAGUCAGUUGUGAAUGUUUGCGGCUCAACCGUAAAAUUGCAAUUGAUACUGG
rnacentral:rRNA from 1 species